UGUAUCAAGUCUUUUCAAUUAUCAAUCGUAAUGGUGCUUUGAAAAUUUUGUUUUGUUUUAGGUUGUGGAAGAAUGUGAAAAACAUAGAAUCUAUUUGAUUAUUAUAGUUACAAAUUAGCUUAGUUCCAUUGUAACUCGUUCUUAGGUCAAUUAAGCUAACAUUGUUUCUCUCAAAUCAGCUCUUAAAGACCCCAGUAUUAAAGACCACUUCCAAUUAAAAAACACUUUUCUGUGGUUCCAAAUUAACAAAUAUGUGUUUCAUCUUUAUUAUUCUAAUUAGAGACCAAAGCUGGUAAAGACCAUGGAAGCACCAGUCCUGAAAGUGGUCUUCUAUUCAUUAGAGAAUGAAAAUGAGGGAGGACCGACAUGCGUUUUAUUUGUUGUUCGUACAAGUGUAGCCGCUCAUUCAAAAAUAGCAUGUGGACGACUUUUCAGCUUUGAUUAAUAGCGCCACCAUAGUUUUCUAAAUGCUUAAGAUCAGAAUGAUGUAGUUUAAUUUAACACACGACGUUAUUCAUACGAAUAUACUCAUCUUGAUUGCAAGGCUUUAGGCACAUAAGCACAUUUUGACCAUUGCCGGUAAACAAAUGAUCGACCAAAGAAAACGAUAUUUAUCGUCAUCUUCUCUUUCCUUAUUAUACACUCACUCCGUCACAGUAUGUUGGGACCUGACAUUGAGGAAUAAAAACUUGUAGUGUACAUGACAUGGGCAUCGGAAAUGACA